rnacentral:rRNA from 1 species
CCUACGGGAGGCAGCAGUGGGGAAUAUUGCACAAUGGGGGAAACCCUGAUGCAGCGACGCCGCGUGAGCGAUGAAGUAUUUCGGUAUGUAAAGCUCUAUCAUCAGGGAAGAAGAUGACGGUACCUGACUAAUAAGCCCCGGCUAACUACGUGCCAGCAGCCGCGGUAAUACGUAGGGGGCAAGCGUUAUCCGGAUUUACUGGGUGUAAAGGGAGCGUAGACGGGGAUGCAAGCCAGAUGUGAAAGCCCGGGGCUCAACCCCGGGACUGCAUUUGAAACUGUUUGUCUGGAGUGUCGGAGAGGCAGGUGGAAUUCCGAGUGUAGCGGUGAAAGGCGUAGAUAUGAGGAGGAACACCAGUGGCGAAGGCGGCCUGCUGGACGAUGACUGACGUUGAGGCUCGAAAGCGUGGGGAGCAAACAGGAUUAGAUACCCCAGUAGUC